UAGGGAAUCUUCGGCAAUGGACGAAAGUCUGACCGAGCAACGCCGCGUGAGUGAAGAAGGUUUUCGGAUCGUAAAACUCUGUUGUUAGAGAAGAACAAGGACGUUAGUAACUGAACGUCCCCUGACGGUAUCUAACCAGAAAGCCACGGCUAACUACGUUCCAGCAGACGCGGUAAUACGUAGGGGGCAAGCGUUGUCCGUAUUUAUUUGGCGUAAAGCGAGCGCAGGCGGUUUCUUAAGUCUGAUGUGAAAGCCCCCGGCUCAACCGGGGAGGGUCAUUGGAAACUGGGAGACUUGAGUGCAGAAGAGGAGAGUGGAAUUCCAUGUGUAGCGGUGAAAUGCGUCGAUAUAUGGAGGAACACCAGUGGCGAAGGCGGCUCUCUGGUCUGUAACUGACGCUGAGGCUCGAAAGCGUGGGGAGCAAACAGG
rnacentral:rRNA from 1 species